AAAAUAUGAGCUUAAAGUAGAGAUGCAUCCCACAGAAGUCAUGGCAAGAGUAAAGGAAAUGAGACGUGAACUUGGAGAACUCAGGAAAAUGUGCGACAGACAAGUAUGGCCAUUACCAGAUAUGAAGGGCACAAGGAGAAGACACUGCCAAAGCUGACAACGUAGAAAGAUUCAGGAUCCGGCUGUUUCCUGGAGUCUUAAAGAGGUGAAAGAAGAAAGCCAGCUUUCACUUUAUACCCUGGGAACCUCGUACCAGAGCGAUGUAGCACCCAAGAAGGAAAAUGACAGCUUGACACCGUAGAAAAUAUGGAGUUGAGGCGCAGAAGAGCUCCACUUGUCUUUCACGGCGGUGCUAAUGGCUUCUUCUGUUCCCAGACUCGUGUCUGCCUCUGGGUAAUUGGCAAAGACAGAUGUGCCAUCUAUCAUAAAAAAUUAAAAACACGAGAAGUAAAUGUGAGUUAUAAGUAUGUGAUUAUUAUUUAAAUGAAAUAAACCUUCAAAUUUCAGAAA